CAAUGGAAAUUCCCCCCUCCCUUCUGCUGCCCGGGCUGGGCCGGGCUAUUUAUACAGCUUGGCGCUGCCGUCACGGAGAGCCGUUUCGCUGACGAGGGACUGACGCUCUUGGCUGCCGGAGCCGCGCUUGCGGUUACAAUGGACGCUUUGUGUGUAGCGACUCGGGGGCUCGGAAGAAACGGCGGGGAAAGAAGACCGUCGCCCGCUUGCUGUCCAUCCGCACCCCGAAAUCUUUCUCUGAAGAGCCGCUGCGGCGAGAGCCCCCUGGAGGUAGCCGCUUGCCUCUGAGGCGAAAGGUUGCGCCCUGGAAGGAGUUUAGCCACUGACUGGAAGAAAGGGGCAUGCGAAGCGUGCACUGGCAGAAAAGCCCGGGCUUCUGGCGGAGCCCAGAAAAAGUUGACAAUAGCUUUCAGCGCAGCUGGAUUUCCACUGGGUGCAGAUGUUGCUAAUGGCAGCUUAAGCAUGGAUGGGCAGAUAACAUAUGGAAUGCAACAUGUUGCCAUAUGGUCCCUUUAGCCUUUCACCUCCAAGAAUAUCAAUCAAAUAUAUUCUGGGAGGAAAUUUAAUGACUCUGAACAAGAAGAUGAAUUGCUUUGUACAAUUUAUAUUCCUUGACCUGAGACCUUAAAAGUCAAUAAGGUGGUAAUCCUAUGUACAUGUACCUGGGAGUAAAUUUCAUUGCACUGAAUGGGGAUGACUUCUGGAGAAUAUGUAUAGAAUUGGAGUGGAUUUUACAACCUGCCUAGUAAGAAUGAAAGCAAAAUGCAGAAGGACUUCAAAAGCUGUAAACAUCUAUUAGUCAGCUACGAUCCUGGAAGCUGUCAAGUAUGUCAUAUGGCCUAGUCCCCUUAAUAUAACCUGACAGUACAAAGAAAAAUUACAUGUAUUUAAAAAUACAAUACCAUAUUAAAAUGCUGUUAACAUC